AACGAACGCUGGCGGCAGGCCUAACACAUGCAAGUCGAACGCUCCAGCAAUGGAGAGUGGCAGACGGGUGAGUAACACGUGGGAACCUUCCCUAUGGUUCGGAAUAGCUCAGGGAAACUUGGGGUAAUACCGGAUAAGCCCUUCGGGGGAAAGAUUUAUCGCCAUUGGAUGGGCCCGCGUCGGAUUAGCUAGUUGGUGAGGUAACGGCUCACCAAGGCGACGAUCCGUAGCUGGUCUGAGAGGAUGAUCAGCCACACUGGGACUGAGACACGGCCCAGACUCCUACGGGAGGCAGCAGUGGGGAAUAUUGGACAAUGGGCGCAAGCCUGAUCCAGCCAUGCCGCGUGAGUGACGAAGGUCUUCGGAUUGUAAAGCUCUUUUGGCGGGGACGAUAAUGACGGUACCCGCAGAAUAAGCCCCGGCUAACUUCGUGCCAGCAGCCGCCGUAACAC
rnacentral:rRNA from 1 species